CAACAACCAGUACAAGCACCAACAACAACAUCAACAACAACAACAAGAACCUCAUCGACGGCGUCAAUUGCGACGAUGGCUGCCAUAAAUACGGUACCAAAGAGCAUCCAUCUGCCAUUGACGACUCUCAGCAGCGCGCCGCGCGUGUUGAUGUGCAGCGCAUCCGUGGGCACCGAAGGAUCCGUCACUCUGCAACUGCGUGAUGCGAACGCGUUGGAGGCAGCAGCAACAAAGACAGCAACAGCAGCAGCAGCAGCGGCAGCCACAUCGACGACGUCACCAAAUGGCGCUGCAGGUGCGCCAGCGUCGACGCUAGAGAAUGCGCUGACCAUCGGCUAUCCGGAUCCGGAAAUGUUGGCAGAUGUCUUGGGCACCAUUCAGACAGCCUCACUCAAGAACAACAACUCAAUCACAGCAGCAACUUCAAGCAAUAGCUCGACCAAGUCGACGAGCAGCAAUCAUCUGACAAAUCCCAACAAGAUAACCAUAACCAGGCGGAGUGUGCACUCGGUCAGCACCUCGACGAACAGCAGUAGCAUUAGUAGUUGCAGCAGCAGCAGCAGCAGUAGCAACAGUGGCAAGAGCAAUACCAGCUACAUCAAGAACUGCUUGAUACGCAGCAGCAGCUGCAGCAACACGGUCACCAAUGUCACCACAUUGGCGCAGAUUAUGAGCAACAGCAGCACGAGCAGCGCGGCCAGUUUACUCAAUCAGCACAACAACAAUAGCAACUGCAGCAACAGCAGCAACUUCAGUACCGCCUCCUCGGUGGGCAGCAGCAUCAGCGUUGGCAGCAACAGCAGCAGCAGCAACUGCAGCAACGGCAGCAACAGCAACAGCAACGACAGCAACAGCAGCAGCGGCGGCGGCCACCGAUUGAGUUUCAAGGGCACCGGACGGCAUGUUCCCGCGAGCGGAUUAGGUUCAUCGGCGGCAUCCACGAACACGAGCGGUACCGCCAGCGGCAUUGGCGGCAUCAUAAGCGUCGAGGCGCCACGCAAGAAUCGACCCAAAUUAUCAUCGCCAACGCGUCACGGACCGCAGCAGUGUCAGAUUUGUUGCAAGAUCUUUGGAAAUGCCUCGGCGCUGGCCAAGCACAAACUGACGCACAGCGACGAGCGGAAAUACAUCUGUGCGCUCUGCUCGAAAGCAUUCAAGCGGCAAGAUCACUUAAACGGACACAUGAUGACUCAUCGGAACAAGAAGCCUUACGAGUGUAAGGCGGAUGGCUGCGGCAAAUCCUAUUGCGAUGCGCGAUCAUUGAGGCGCCACUCGGAGAACCAUCAUGCUGGCGGAGCAGCCACACCCACCACCAGCCAAUCGCUUUCGCCCACCGCCAGUUCGAGCGGUACCAGCAAUAGUAGUGGUGCCGGCGUGGCCACCAGCUCCUUGAGCCUUUCCCCGGCCACGGCCAGCGGCGAUGCCAGCUCCCCGGACGGAGCCACCUGCAUUCGAACUUACAUUUCCACGGGCAGUUCUGUGGUGGAUGCCGCUACUGGGAUCGCCCUGUCGGAUGAACAGAUCAAGGCGAUGAAUCUGCCGAUCAAGACGGGCGUGACCUUGCUGUCGCCCACCACCUCGACCUCGUCGAAUGCCUCAUCCUCGGCCUCGUCUGCCAGCUCAUCGCUUUCCUCGACGGGCUCGUUGCCGGGGUCGGGAUCGGGAUCAGGAUCAGUUUCCAUGGCCCCGUCACCGUCAAGUGGCUCGGUGAUAACCGCUAGUUCGCCCACCAUCACGCUCAGCGAUGGGAUGAGUCUCGAGGGCGAGGGUCUUACUCGGGAACAGUUGGAUCUCAUCAGCAAGAUAAUGCAGCAAACGAAGCAGACGAGUGCCCAGGUCACAGUCUCCUCGCCCACCAGUGUCAGUUCCUACAAGAUCAACACCAACUCGUCGCCAUCGCAGAACAGACCGCGCACAUGGAACAUGCAAUUGUUAAAUAGUGCCCAAAAUGUGACUGUCACAGUCGAAGACAACUCUGAGCUCGUUACUCCCUCCUCCAACUCACCCGUGGAGGUCAAGGAGGAGGAGCUGAGUCCACAGCUUGUGGGCACCAUGAAUCCCCACCUGCUCAAUAUCGUGAAGCUUGACAAGCCCGUUGAGUGCAAUCUCUGUCACCGUAAGUUCAAAAACAUACCCGCCCUCAAUGGGCACAUGCGCCUGCAUGGCGGCUACUACAAAAAGGAUCCGGAAACCAAGCGCAGCGAGAAGAAGGACUCCAGUGGUCCACCCCUGCAGACGGCGAGCAUUGGAGUGCGCGCCCUAAUCGAGGAGAAGAUCAUCAGCAAGCGCAAGGACAUGACUAAGGGCUCCUUUGUGGUUCCGGCACCACCGCAUAGCAGUGGCACGACCACUACCCUGCGUCGAUCGAUUAGCGACCUGGAGAGCUUUCUCAACCCGAAGACGAGCACCAGCAGUCACACCCAGACGAUGACCACCACUACGGGCACAACCACAGCGGUUCUCCCAGCGGCCACCACCAUCAAGAGCAGCAAUGGCCUCAGUAUCCAGCAGAUUGGCCUACCGCAGAGCAUCGAGAUCUUCAGCGGCGGCCAGAAGCAGGCGAAGACGCUCAACCUGGGCAGUGGAACCAACACGAUCACGAUAACCACCAACAAUGUACCCACCACCACGACGAUGAGUGCGCUUACUGCGCUGAAAGCGGGUGGCACCAUCAGUGGAAUCUCUACCGCUACCAACACGGAUCCCAAGGAUUCCACACUUAUAGAGCUCUUGAAACGCGGCACUCGCAUUGCGGUCACUUCGAAAAAGAACCAAUCCCAUGGACAAACGGGAUCCAGCAUAAUGAUGACCUCCAGUGGAGCGGCAACAAAUGCUGUGGGUGCUGUCACCGAGUUAACCACCAUUGGUGCCGGUGGAGGAGUGCAGACAGUGGGCCGACAGAUCAUCACCAACAACAACCGCACCGUGAUCAUACCCUCCGAUGUCCAGGUGGUGUCCACCAAGAGCAAGCUAAGCAGCUUAAGCAGCCUGGUCAAGAGCAAUAUGACCAGCAGUGGCACCUGCUCCUCGGGAAAUCUUUCGCUGGCCGAUGGCACGCCACUUUCCCUAACAAUUGCUUCCAAUCAAGAGGUGACUGGAGGAGUAGGCAACUCCAGCGGAUCGGGAAGUGUGAUCACGAGCGGAGGAGGGGGAGUCUACACGGUUACCUACACCAGUGACGGCACCGAUCUAUUCGACGAUGCCGAGGUCUACAACGUUUCGGACACCGAGAUGCUGCUGCAGACGGUGGACUCCAUGGAGCUGCUCAACGAUGAGGAGAUCAAGAGCGAACAUUCCGAGGACUUUGCCCUGCUAAGCGAGGCCGGCGACAGCGCGCACACCCAACUGGUGAAACUGGAGCCGGAAAGUGGACAGGCCAACUCCGGAUCGGGAAGCGUAUCCGGCGCAAACACUACGCCAUUGCCCACCUUCCAGCAAUUCCAUUCCAAGGAGCUGAUCAUGCAGAACAGUUCGCAGAUCCAGGCGAUAGCCAGCAUGCGCGGAAGUGGUGGUGGAGUCCUGGCCUCGCCGCUCCACUCGCCUUUGGCCUAUCCCACUCCGCCAUCGAGCCACGAGAAUAUGGCCCAGAGUUCGCCCUUCAUCGAGGAUGCAGCUGCCCAGUUUGUGGAUGCCAGUAACACCUUCUUCGGUGAUAAGACGGACUUCUCGCACAUCUAUUUUAAAACGGAUGAGGGGGAGGCCACCAUUGAACAGCUAAAUGAGCACGACAACGAGAAGAUCCUGAAACUGAAAUCAGUGCUGGAGGAGAGCAGCUUCGAUCCCUCGAUCAAAGUGGAGGACCUGUUGAAUGGCACCGAUGACGAUACGGAAUGCGAUCUGCGGGAAUUUGCGGAGACUAACCUGUCGUUUUUGGACGAGGAUCAAGAGUUCCUCAAUGACUCCAGGAAUGCCACCUCUCCGCUCUCGGAAUCCUUCUUCACCAGCGGCAUUGGCUCCGCGGAGGAUGUGAAGCAGGUUUUGCGCGAAGUCCUGCCCGAUGAGAAUAUGCAACUGCAAUUGAGCAGUGAGCAGCAGGGCGAGAACAUCAUCGAUCUCUACUAUUUGCCUGGCUUGGGCUUGCAAUCCCAGAUGAUGCCCAAUUCGGAGGACCCGCUGCUCUCCUCCUCACCCCGCGAGUUUGGCCAGCAAAGACAGCAGUUGGCUAUGCAAACCACCAACAUGACACAGCCCAUGGAGCAGACACUCCAGGACAACAACAAUAUCUACCAGCAGCAAGAGCAGCAGCAACAGAAUCCGCAGCAGCAAGAGCAACACCAGCAGCAGCAAUCACAGCAGGAGCAGCCACCGCAACAGGAACAACAACAGCAGCAGCAGCAACAUCAUCAACAGUUGCUGCUGCCCCAGCAACCACUCAAUCAAACGGAAUCCCUGCCGGCAGUCGGUCAGCAGCAGGGUGAUUUCAUGCUGCCUCUGGUGGGUGGUCAUGGAUUCACCCAAGUUACCAGCCAAACACAAUACAUAGAUAACAGCCAGGGCGGCAUGGGGAUGCAGCCCCUCAACAGCCUGCUGCAACCACUGCUCUAUGGUGGGGCAACCACAUCCAAUGGCAGCGCCUCAGCCGGGGGCAAUGAAUCUCUGCUCACCACCGAUUGCCAAAUGAAUGCCAAUCAAGGCCAGAUCGAUACGGGCCUGAUGUUCGCCUGUGGCAACACGACAACUAUGGCCAACAAAUCCCUGGCGGCUCUCGUGCCCAACCCGCCGAGUGUGGCUAAUUUGCAGCCCUUGUCCAACCAAACCAAUUCCAUUCUGAAGCGCCGACUACGCUCCAAUGCGCCCCAGGAGACGCACAAGUUCUCCAAGUUCCACACUCUGUCACCGCAUCGUUCCAAGCUGCGCAAACCAUCGCGAACACACUAUACGCCCGCACCCAUCCUGAAUCCGGAUCGCAAGGGCACUGGGCUGUACUGCAAUGUGCGCAAGCAACUGGGUCAGGGUCUCUUCGACGCCUUCGACGAUGACUUUGGGGACUCGGUGGGCCUGGUGGACUUCUCGGACGAGUCCAAGGUAAACUUGGGAUCCACCUACCAGGCGCAGAUACCCAGCUGUCGGCCGCAGGAGGAGGCAUCGCGGGAUUCUCCCGGCGCCGAGAUGAUGUGGAAUCCCGAGGUGCAGGAGGACGAGAAGAUCCUGAUGCGCUACAUUGAUCUCAGCAAGUCGUCGGCCGUGCCCAUGGGCAGUCAUUCCGAGGAGGUGGCGCUCCAAACGCUGCUUCGGUCCAAAGGAAACUCGGCGGCGGCUGUGCUCAGCCUGCUUCAAACGCAGUCCGGCGCCUUCCAGAUGAAGUGGACCGCCUACGAGCUGGAGCAGUUCUUGCGCGGAUUGGAGAAGAAUGGCAAGGACUUUGGCAAGAUCGCCAGUGAGCUGCAAACAAAGUCCUCCGGCGAAUGUGUGCAAAUGUACUACUUCUGGAAGAAGCUGUGCGUGGACUACAAGGUGACGCACUUGAAGAUGGAGCCCGUGGUGGUCAUUGCUCCCGCGGUGGAGAAGCCCUAUGUCUGCGAGAUCGCCGACUGCUCAGCGCGAAGAGUCACAACUCGCAAAUAGACGUAUCCGUAACUGAUAUCAGCUCCACAAGUCCACACGCACAGCUCGCUGGCAAAAUGCUCGGGUCUUCAAUAAGGUGAAGAGUCGCAGUGCGCACAUGAAGACGCACCGCGUCCAGGAGCCGGAUCAGAAACACCAGCUGCAAAACCAGG
rnacentral:misc_RNA from 1 species